GGGGAAUAUUGCACAAUGGGCGAAAGCCUGAUGCAGCACCGCCGCGUGAGUGAUGAAGGCCUUCGGGUUGUACAGCUCUGUCUUCUGGGACGAUAAUGACGGUACCAGAGGAGGAAGCCACGGCUAACUACGUGCCAGCAGACGCGGUAAUACGUAGGUGGCAAGCGUUGUCCGGAUUUACUGGGCGUAAAGGAUGCGUAGGAGGAUACUUAAGUCAGAUGUGAAAAUCCCGGGCUUAACUUGGGAACUGCAUUUGAAACUGGGUAUCUAGAGUGCGGGAGAGGAUAGUGAAAUUCCUAGUGUAUCGGUGAAAUGCGUAGAGAUUAGGAAGUACACCAGUGGCGAAGGCGACUUUCUGGACCGUAACUGACGCUGAGGCAUGAAAGCGUGGGUAGCAA
rnacentral:rRNA from 1 species